UAAUGCAAAAUAAACCGCGUUAUAUUUAUUAAUAAAUAAAUAAAUCCUAAUUAAGCCAGCAAUAUUAAAGCUGAUUGUAUGUUAAAUCGUCACUGUGUGAUGAAGAUAUAGUGUGUUGUGGAGUUUGAGUUUUUAUUUUAUGAACAAAUACACAGACUAAUAAUCAUAAUCAGUAAUACAAAAUGACUGAUAUAAAAAUGGUGCAGUUUAAGUGUAAAAAUUUUUUUUCAACAAUGCAUAUCAUAAAAAUAUUUUCAGGUCAUCCAGUGUAUGUUCAGAUCUUGCACUUCCCAUGAUGGCUGACAGACGCGUCUUGUGUGGUUGUAGUAUACAUUUACUUCCGGUAUGAGGGUCGUUUAAAAGUGGGCGGGUACAGUAUAGACUGUACUGUAAAGUGGACGUAAGCGUCAUGAGAGUGUCGUCAUAGCUACGCAAAAGCUCGACACAGCAAGUCCCGUUCCACAGGGAGAAUAUUUCUCGGCUUGCGCGCGCGGCUGUCUUGUUGUUGUUUUUUCCCGCAGAAAUGAGAUGAAUGAGAGAUGCCGCUCUUUGGGUGACUUUUCAAGCAAUUUCAUUAAUCGCCGCGUUUUUCGGAAGAGCGUGAAUAAGUCCGGUCUGUAGAUGUUCCGUCGAGCUGAUUCGGAGUGUGUAACGGUGUUAACGGGACGCCUCUGGCUCCACCGCACACUCAGCGCGUGCUAGAGCGUUUCGAGGCUUCUCUGUGCACCUCUCUUGUCCCCGCCACCCCGGUGCCGAGCACGCGCGUGUGCGAGAGCGAUGAUGUUGCCGUGUUUGCGCAGAGUUCUGCGGCCGGCUCUCGCGCUCCGCCCGUCGUUUGCGCCCGUUUCUCACCUGGGCACGCACGCGCGCAAGGAGCCCAUUGAUCCGCUGAGCUCGCCGCAGGGUGCGCGAGACUUCAUCUACGGCCUCCAUCCCGCCGAGCGCACGUGCCUGAUGCGGGAACUGCACCGGUUCGAAUCCAUCGCCAUCGCGCAGGAGCAAUUGGAAAUGGCUCCUCCAACCACAGCUCAGCUGAGAUAUGUUUUGCUUCACAACGCUAUUCCCUUUAUCGGCUUCGGCUUCCUGGACAACGCCAUUAUGAUUGCUGCAGGCACGCAGAUUGAGCUGUCUAUAGGAGUAAUCCUGGGCAUUUCAACUAUGGCAGCUGCUGCUCUCGGUAACUUGGUGUCUGACCUGGCAGGACUCGGUCUUGCAGGCUACGUGGAAGCUCUGGCUUGUAGACUUGGCAUGCAAAUUCCAGAUCUGAGUCCUAAACAGGCUGACAUGUGGCAGACUCGAGUCAGCUCUCACAUGGGCAAAGCCAUCGGAGUGGGAAUCGGGUGCAUCCUGGGAAUGUUUCCUCUCCUGUUCUACAAAGACGACGAGGACAAGAAAAAGGGCACAGCUGAGGAUCCGCCUCCGUCUCCUCCUGACUCCGCCCCCAAGAACGCAUGAUAAAGAAUUAAACGCCUCCUCGACGCCCUGUAAAUGAGUGACUGUUCGAACCAUUUCUUCAAAAUGUGGAGGAUUUUUUUUUUGCUCUUACGAUGUUGCUGAUGGGCCGAAAUUAAGCUGAACUUCAAAUCCUGAGUUAACAUCAUGUUAACUUCAUGCCACAGGAGUGAAAUCACUGAUUUUUGCUCCUGUAAAUUUUGAAUUCUUUUAUUUAUUUAAUGAGGAGUUUGUGGGACAAACAUUAUCUACUACUAGAUUAUCAUCUUUGUGCUUUAUAGACACUAAGAAAGUUAGACUUUAAUGUUGUUUGGUUAAAUGUUUUUUAUUUGUGAAUCAGUUUAAUGCUGUUUAGAUUUAGGAAAAGAAGUGAUAUGCCAUUAUUUCUCCUCUGGGCUCCGAAGGGCCAGCAAUGAAGACUAAAAGAGAAGGAAAUAUGCAGAAUGUAAGAAUCUGAACAAACGCCACGUUUUCUUCUGUUUUAAGCCAACGCACAAAAAAUAACACACACCCAUGUGCAUUAAGCUAGCACAUCCUGAUUUAGUCAUAUGAUAGUCCUGGGGGUUGACUAGGGCAGGGCUUAAGGCAAUUGUGAAUAUAAUCAGUUUGAUUUAGUUCUAGAUAUAAAAGACUGUUCUAUACAAUACAGUAUAUAUGUUAAAACAAGCAAAGACUGUGGAUAAUAAGUAUAAAUGUAAAAACAAUUCAACAGAUACAGUUAAGAUAUGCUUUCAAUAUUUUAAACCACUUUGUAGUUUAAAAAAAGAGUGCUUGCCAGAUGUGCUAAAUGAACUAAUUAGCAUUGUUAGCCUUAGCUAACUAUUAGCCAACUGUUAGCAUUGUUUUGGAGCUAGUGAAUCCACAAAGCAAUCUGCACUAGCUAAUGUAAAAUUAUUGCACUGUUAUUGAUAUUUAUAUGAUCGAGCGUGGUACACUUUUACCUUGAAACUGCUUCAACUGAAUCAAAAUUCAGCUAAAGCUCUGCCCUCCUCCGCCAGCUUAACAGAAUCGGGAUAUCUUUUAUAUGCACAUCUCAUAGACACUACAUGUUACUAUUCAGACCUCAGGCAUGCUUCUGUGUUAUUAUGUGCCUUAAUGCAGAGGCAUUGUGAAAAUAAUAUUUAUUUAUCUGGACAUGUCCCAACAUCGGCAUGAUACAUUUGUCGUUAGCGCAACCACAAGCUACAAAAAUAAAUAUAUCCGUAAAGCUCACGCUACAAAGAUAUGGUUAGACUAAUUUUUUUUUUUUUUGGUUAACAUUUUUAAUCUUGUAAGCUAUUUAGCAAACGUGUUAAUAGUUAACAGAUUUUGAUUUUAGUAGGAAGCUAGCAAAAUUAUACUAGAAAGCAUUUUUUUAUUUUUUUUUUAAAAACACCAUUUCUUAAAUUCAGAAAUUACAAAUCACAAAAAGUAAAUAUUUGUUUCAUUAUUUAAAUUCAUUAUUUAAACUAAUUAAUUCAUAUUAUUAAAUGCAAAUUGCAUUCAGUUAUCAUGUGACCAAGUUCAAAAAAUAUUCAUCAUUUUUCCUGGAUGUUUUGAACAUUUUUCUCACACUGCACAGUGUUUGCGCAUACUUGUUUAAUCUGCAUGUGACUACUUUAUUGAUUUGGUCAUGAAACACUAAUAUUUUGUAUUCAAAGCAUAAACAAUGAUUUAAAGUGAUCAAAACUCGAAGUUGUGAUGUCGGGUGCCGUAACCAUGGCAAUGCCACAUCCCUACAUCAGAGAUAGAAUGAAGGUGCAUGGAAUCUUACUGACCUCAGUGGCUUUACAUUUACGCUUGGGAAUAAAGAAGGAAGCAGAGAGAGAGAGAGUGUGUGUGACAGAAUUGGAGGUUGAAUGAAGCCAUUCUGAAAUAUGUACAUACAGUUCGUGUGUAUGAGAGAGUUGUGUUUAUUAAAGAUUUAACUAGAAUUCCUUAGCUUGUAGUGACUAUGCAUUAAUGGUAGAAAAAAAACAACACAGAAUGUUUUUAUACCUGCAUGCUGAAUUAUUUAUUAAACUUCUUAAAGAUUGAAAUGUUUGUUUAAUUGUUUUUGAAUUACUUCAUCUGUUUGUUUGUUGGUUUUUUUUUGGUUGCUUAUUAAGGUGAACUUCAGAUGCUUGUUUCCAUUUGAGCUUGAGCCUUUAGGACAAUAUUCAAAAUACAUUUGGCUGUAAAAACAAGACAACAUAUCCCCAAAGCACAGCAUACCAAAGGUAAAGAAUGGUGGUGGCAGCUUCAUGCUGCGAGGCUGCUUCUCUGCUAGGACUACAGCAUCUGACAAAAUGUUUCUCUUCCCAAUGUAAUUCCAGGAUUUUCUUUAAUUUCUAAGAAAUUCAUAAUUAAAAAAGGAAUUUAUUCAAUAUAAACAUUUUUUUUAUUAUUUAUAUUGGUUGCCCUCACCUCACCUCCAGUACUAUAAAUUAAUUUAAGUUUUAUUCAUAACACUUUUGUAAUAAAUCUGAGAAUCAAAUAAAAGCUGAAAAAUAAGA